GACGAACGCUGGCGGCGUGCUUAACACAUGCAAGUCGAACGGAAAGGCCCUGCUUUUGUGUGGUGCUCGAGUGGCGAACGGGUGAGUAACACGUGAGUAACCUGCCCUUGACUUUGGGAUAACAUCUGGAAACUGGGGCUAAUACCGGAUAGGAGCUCCUGCUGCAUGGUGGGGGUUGGAAAGUGUCGGCGGUUGGGGCUGGACUCGCGGCUUAUGAGCUUGUUGGUGGGGUAGUGGCUUACCAAGGCUUUGACGGGUAGCCGGCCUGGGAGGGUGACCAGCCACAUGAGGACUGAGGUACGGCCCAGACUGCUACGGGAGGCAGCAGUGGGAAAUAUUGCACAAUGGGCGGAAGCCUGAUGCAGCAACGCCGCGUGCGGGAUGACGGCCUUCGGGUUGAAAACCGCUUUCGCCUGUGACGAAGCGUGAGUGACGGUAAUGGGUAAAGAAGCACCGGCUAACUACGUG
rnacentral:rRNA from 1 species